UCCGCGAUAGCUCAGUUGGUAGAGCAAGUGACUGUUAAUCAUUUGGUCCCUGGUUCGAGUCCAGGUCGUGGAGCCA
rnacentral:tRNA from 2 species